CUUAGCCUAUCGACUUUUUCUUUUUCCUUCUCAUCAGAAACUCUAUGCCAUUGUCUUCUCCUGCAUAACGUAUCUCCCUCCCCAUUACUACUCAUCAAGAUUAUUCAUUAUUGUAGUAAUCCAGAUCUAACCUACUCUUCCGAUUCCCCCCACCCCCAGCUCCAAACUUUAUAUAUGGCUAUGUUUUUACGGUUCUCUCAUUUACCGAAUUCAAGAUAUGGUUUUCUUUCCUAUGGCUGAUUACGAUUUUGUUGCUAUUCCUGCUCAUUCUCAUUGAUGAAAAGAUAUCCAAUUGACACCUUCUAAUAUUCUCAAUAUUCGCCCUGUUUCGCUAAUUUCUUAAGUUGCUAUUUUGAUCUCUCAUGGUUUGUUAAUUUAAUUAAUAUUUUCUUCUUAUUUUUCUUCAAGCCCAUAUAAUGAUAUCCUCUCCAUGAAAAAGCUCUGGUUUGUCCAUGUUAUAUAGGUUUUGAUGAAUUAUGUCAUUUUGGUUAUCUUUUACUCAUCAACUUUCUGUUAGUUAUAACUAUUAAUUGUUUCAUUAUUCCCGGAUAGUGUAGAAGCCAGACGGCAAGUUGAUAUCUUUAUACCAAAUACAAGAGCAGUAUGCCUAGCUUCUACCUGAUGGGUGCUCACUUAGGAUUGGGGUUUUCUAUCCUGAUGUUGUGACUGAGACAUUAUACUGAAGCGAGCAAAAGGAAUCCAAAAGACAGUAAGGCAUACAGAAACUGAGCUGCGUGUUAUGCUGCGUUUUAUGCAAAGCUGGGGAAAUACCUAUACGAUUUAAGGAUGCGGAGAAAUGCACCAAGAUCCAUCCAACAUUCUCAAAGGGGUACAGCAGAAAAAUUGCAGUCCAAUUCUUCAUGAAGGAGUAUGAAAAUUCAAUGGAAAUAUACCACUAGGGUCGCAAACAUGAUCCUAAUAUUGAGCUUUUCUCGAUGGUGUUAUACGGUAUACUAUACGUGUAAAGGCAUGGAGAAAUUAUUUACUCGGUUAUCUUUGUAGCCUAUGUUACGUUCUGUAAAAAUAUUAUGCAGAUCUGUACAAUAGAUCAACAAGCAAACCGUGGUGACCUUACCCGAGGAGUUUAAAGAAACAUGUUAAAUUCUAACUUACUACAAUCGGAAUGCAAGACCCAUCAAUCCAAAACAUUCUCACAGAUCCUGUAUUGAGAAGGACCAUAAUCCAGAUACGUUGAAGAGGCUGACUGAGGCUGUGAGAUUCAAGAAAGAGUUAGAGCAGAAAGACUAUUCUGAUCUCAGUAUUAGUGAUGCGGAACGUUAAAAAGAGCUCUUUAAGGAGAAGAAGUAUCAUGAUGCUGUGAGACAUUACCCUGAAGCGAUCAAAAGAAAUCCAGAAGACUUGGGAGCAAGGCCAUUUCUAAUCAUCUUAUGUGCUUCAGUGUUGUGACGCGUACAAAGGUUUCCGUAUUUGAACUUUUAAAUUAAUAUGUUUUCUUUUUCUUUGUAUUUCAUAUAGGCAUACGACAACCAAGCUGUGUGUUACACAAAACUGACAAGUUCUUCCAAGGGAGGCAUAUCGGAAAAAAAGAGAGAUGUGAAGAUAGUAAUCAAGACAAUACUCGAUGUUGAUCUGAUAGAAGUUAAGGGAGAUCGAAGAAAGUUUGUGUUGUUUAAUGCGGGUAGGGUAGCUAAAGGCCUUAGGCAUCUUGAUGAGAAGUAUGGCAAAGAAAGAUGGGAGAUAUUGAGCAGUGUGGUUGAACUUCUAUGUUAUGCAGCGAACGUGGAGCAACACAGUAGAGGAGGCGAGCCAUUAACUUCGUUUAUAUUUAAACGAGUCACCUGGAACAACUCACUUUGGAGCGUUUGGUUUAAGUUUUGACUAAAACACUAUUUAAACAAUGAAUUCUGACAACAUUAUAACACUAUCUAACUUAAAAUAAGUAGAACAUUGAGGUUCAUGAUGUGAACCACUGAAACAAAUGAUCCAAUACAAUUAAACCAAAACCAGGUUUAAUACAUAA